rnacentral:rRNA from 1 species
GAUGAACGCUGGCGGCGUGCUUAACACAUGCAAGUCGAACGGAAAGGCCCUGCUUUUGUGGGGUGCUCGAGUGGCGAACGGGUGAGUAACACGUGAGUAACCCGCCCUUGACAUUGGGAUAACUUCAGGAAACUGGGGCUAAUACCGGAUAGGAGCUCCUGCUGCAGGGUGGGGGUGGGAAAGUUUCGGCGGUUGGGGAUGGACUCGCGGCUUAUCAGCUUGUUGGGGGGGUAGGGGCUUACCAAGGCUUUGACGGGUAGCCGGCCUGAGAGGGUGACCGGCCUCAUUGGUACUGCGAUACGCCCCAGCCUCCUACCGGCGGCAGCAGUGGGGAAUAUUGCGCAAUGCGCGGACGCCUGAUGCAGCGACGCCGCGUGCGGGAUGACGGCCUUCGGGUUGUAAACCGCUUUCGCCUGUGACGAAGCGUGCGUGACGGUAAUUGGUAAAGAAGCACCGGCUAACUACGUG